rnacentral:lncRNA from 1 species
UAUAUAUAGUCAAAGAAUUUUGUCAGCAAUGUGACUAUAACAUGUGAGGUAACCUUUUCUCAUGAAGAUUUAUUUCAUUUUAUUUUUACAAUUAUAUUUUAAAUUUAGAUAAAGGAGUAAAAUUUUAAUAUGGGAAGAAUUCAUCAAGAGACGUCAAAUGCAAAGAACACUACUAAAGAAGAACUUUAGAGGACACACAUGAACACUUGUCCACACAGUGGGGAUUUACUUGAAAACAAUUACUUACUUUGUGCAAGAGAAGAGAAAAGAGAAAAAUAAACAAAUAAAUAAUGAAGCAAUAAUGUAAAGAUAGUAAUUGAAGAAGUGUGGGCUAAAUUAGAGCUCUAUCAUUAAACCUUCACAUCUUCGUCCCCAAGUCAUUUAACU